rnacentral:rRNA from 1 species
AUGGCUCAAGAUGAACGCUAGCGACAGGCUAACACAUGCAAGCGAGGGGCAUCACGGGAGUAGCAAUACAACUGGUGGCGACCGGCGCACGGGUGAGUAACGCGUAUGCAACCUACCUAUCAGAGGGGAAUAACCCGGCGAAAGUCGGACUAAUACCGCAUAAAACAGGGGCACCGCAUGGUGAUAUUUGUUAAAGAAAUUCGCUGAUAGAUGGGCAUGCGUUCCAUUAGGUAGUUGGUGAGGUAACGGCUCACCAAGCCGACGAUGGAUAGGGGAACUGAGAGGUUGGUCCCCCACACUGGUACUGAGACACGGACCAGACUCCUACGGGAGGCAGCAGUGAGGAAUAUUGGUCAAUGGGCGGGAGCCUGAACCAGCCAAGUCGCCGUGAAGGAAGAAGGAUCUAUGGUUCGUAAACUUCUUUUGCAGGGGAAUAAAGUGCAGGACGUGUCCUGUUUUGUAUGUACCCUGGGAAUAAGGAUCGGCUAACUCCGUGCCAGCCGCCGC